GUUAUGCCGGAGAGGUGCUGCAGCAAGAGAUGGAAGAAAACUCUUUAUUAUUGAGGCUUUGGCACAUGCUGUUGAGGCUCCAGCUGUUGGAUAGGACCCGGCUCCCCUUGAGGCUCACGAGGACUCAGCAGUGCUUUUUAAGGUCACUAAGUGUCCCACUGCCAGACUUCAUUUCAGAACCAAGACUCGAUGGUAAUAUCUAUAAGAGACAUAUUCCUGGACUGCAGAGUCAGUGAACUUUGAAACAGGAGCAAAACAAGAAGCAUCAGUAGUGCGACCUGCAUGAAGUGCUGGGGAUGGAGCUCAUCAGUGAAGCCAAGCAAAACUUGACGUGAGACUUCCCAUUCAGGAAGAUGAGCUU